rnacentral:rRNA from 1 species
GGCCCUUUCGGGGGUACUCGAGUGGCGAACGGGUGAGUAACACGUGGGUGAUCUGCCCUGCACUUUGGGAUAAGCCUGGGAAACUGGGUCUAAUACCGAAUACACCCUGCUGGUCGCAUGGCCUGGUAGGGGAAAGCUUUUGCGGUGUGGGAUGGGCCCGCGGCCUAUCAGCUUGUUGGUGGGGUGAUGGCCUACCAAGGCGACGACGGGUAGCCGGCCUGAGAGGGUGACCGGCCACACUGGGACUGAGAUACGGCCCAGACUCCUACGGGAGGCAGCAGUGGGGAAUAUUGCACAAUGGGCGCAAGCCUGAUGCAGCGACGCCGCGUGAGGGAUGACGGCCUUCGGGUUGUAAACCUCUUUCAGCACAGACGAAGCGCAAGUGACGGUAUGUGCAGAAGAAGGACCGGCCAACUACGUGCCAGCAGCCGCGGUAAUACGUAGGGUCCGAGCGUUGUCCGGAAUUACUGGGCGUAAAGAGCUCGUAGGUGGUUUGUCGCGUUGUUCGUGAAAACUCACAGCUUAACUGUGGGCGUGCGGGCGAUACGGGCAGACUAGAGUACUGCAGGGGAGACUGGAAUUCCUGGUGUAGCGGUGGAAUGCGCAGAUAUCAGGAGGAACACCGGUGGCGAAGGCGGGUCUCUGGGCAGUAACUGACGCUGAGGAGCGAAAGCGUGGGGAGCGAACAGGAUUAGAUACCCUGGUAGUCCACGCCGUAAACGGUGGGUACUAGGUGUGGGUUUCCUUCCUUGGGAUCCGUGCCGUAGCUAACGCAUUAAGUACCCCGCCUGGGGAGUACGGCCGCAAGGCUAAAACUCAAAGGAAUUGACGGGGGCCCGCACAAGCGGCGGAGCAUGUGGAUUAAUUCGAUGCAACGCGAAGAACCUUACCUGGGUUUGACAUGCACAGGACGCCGGCAGAGAUGUCGGUUCCCUUGUGGCCUGUGUGCAGGUGGUGCAUGGCUGUCGUCAGCUCGUGUCGUGAGAUGUUGGGUUAAGUCCCGCAACGAGCGCAACCCUUGUCUCAUGUUGCCAGCACGUUAUGGUGGGGACUCGUGAGAGACUGCCGGGGUCAACUCGGAGGAAGGUGGGGAUGACGUCAAGUCAUCAUGCCCCUUAUGUCCAGGGCUUCACACAUGCUACAAUGGCCGGUACAAAGGGCUGCGAUGCCGUGAGGUGGAGCGAAUCCUUUCAAAGCCGGUCUCAGUUCGGAUCGGGGUCUGCAACUCGACCCCGUGAAGUCGGAGUCGCUAGUAAUCGCAGAUCAGCAACGCUGCGGUGAAUACGUUCCCGGGCCUUGUACACACCGCCCGUCACGUCAUGAAAGUCGGUAACACCCGAAGCCGGUGGCCUAACCC